rnacentral:rRNA from 1 species
AAAUUGAAGAGUUUGAUCAUGGCUCAGAUUGAACGUUGGCGGCAGGCCUAAUACAUGCAAGUCGAGCGGUAACAGAUCGCUGUGAUCCCUUCGGGGUGAACUUGAUGCUGACGAGCGGCGGACGGGUGAGUAACGCGUAGGAAUCUACCCAGUAGCGGGGGAUAGCCCGGGGAAACUCGGAUUAAUACCGCAUACGCCCUACGGGGGAAAGGCGGGGAUCUCUUCGGAGAC